ACAACCAGGAGGUUGGCUUAGAAGCAGCCAUCCUUUAAAGAAAGCGUAAUAGCUCACUGGUCUAGUGAUUUUGCGCGGAAAAUAUAACGGGGCUAAAGUAAGUACCGAAGCGGUAGGCUUGUGCUUAAUCAAAUUCUUUAAGACAAGGGCAAAAACCCUAACGAAUUUAAGAAAGCUAAGAAGUUAAAUGCAAAUUUUUGUUUUAAAUUUUAAGUUUUAACUUUUAAAUUUGAAUUUCAAAAAAAGAAAAAAAACUUAACUUUGAAACUUAAAUUUGAAAGAAAAAGAAUUUAAAUUUGAAAUUUCAAAAAAAAAUAAAUUUCAAAAAUAAAUUUAAAAUCCUUAAAUUCAAAAUUUAACUUUCAAAAAAAGAAAAAAUUCAAAAAGAAUUUGCUUAAGCACAAGCGGUAGGAGAGCGUUCUAUUUGCGCCGAAGGUAUACCGGCAAGGAGUGCUGGAGCGGAUAGAAGUGAGCAUGCAGGCAUGAGUAGCGAUAAUUAAUGUGAGAAUCAUUAACGCCGUA
rnacentral:rRNA from 1 species